rnacentral:rRNA from 1 species
AUUGAACGCUGGUGGCAGGCCUAACACAUGCAAGUCGAACGAGUGGUGGACGGGUGAGUAAUGUCUGGGAAACUGCCUGAUGGAGGGGGUUCACUACUGGCUAAGGUAUCUAAUACCGUAUACCAUCAGAUGUGCCCAGAUGGGAUUUGCUAGUUGGUGGGGUAAUGGCUGACCACUGCGACGAUCCCUAGCUGGUCUGAGAGGAUGACCAGCCACACUGGAACUGAGCCACUGUCCAGACUCCAUCGGGAGGCAGCAGUGGGGAAUAUUGCACAAGGGGCGCAAGCCUGAUGCAGCCAUGCCGCGUGUAUGAAGAAGGCCUUCGGGUUGGAAAGUACUUUCAGCGGGGAGGCGUUACCCGCAGAAGAAGCACCGGCUAACUCCGUGCCAGCAGCCGCGGUAAUUC